UGUGCACUCCCACUGCCUUCUCGCAGACGAGGAAGACAGGAUGGGUAAAGACGACGAAUCCCAUUGCCUGCAUAAUUUGUGGAAGUGACCAUCAAUCAAAACGGGACAUCAUAGAAGCACCCCACAAGUACCACAACCAGUAUACAAUCCAAGACUGAUGCAUACAUUGAAGUGAAUGAGGACAUUCUGAGGAUACAAAAGAGCAGGUAGAAUCUCACUUGGUGCACAACCAUAGAUAAAAUGGCAACUGUCCGCCAACGACUUGGAGGAAGAACAGAAAAAGCGUUGGAACGUUUCAACAGGAUAUCACCAUACGCCCAGUACACUGCAACAGUACUUGGUAAUGUGAUACACAGCGUGUAAAAGCACACUGCUAAGUACACAAAUUUGAAUCUCGAUGGUCUCUUCAUCGACUCCAAAAUCUCUCUAUCAAAUUAUCAUAGCAGAUUUUAAACCGAUUAGAAUCCACUUCAAAUGAUUUAUUAAUUUUAGUGAUACUUCACAUUGAAUGGCUUGAUAGCAGUAUGAUAUCGAGUUUAAAAUUGAGAGAGUGAAAGGACCAACUCUUCCCUACAGAGCUACUACAUAGUUUACAGGUUAGGAUUGCCUACAUAGUGAUGCCAUGCCCUCCAAAAGCAAAUAGGAUAUUAGUUGCACCCGUCAGAAACUCCACCUUGUCUGAAACUCCACCUGUAUGUCUGAUCCCAGCUACCUACAUCAUGAGAGAGAUGGUGAUGCUCUUUUCCCCCAAACAAUUAAUCACUUUUUCAAACA